rnacentral:rRNA from 1 species
AUUGAACGCUGGCGGCAGGCCUAACACAUGCAAGUCGAGCGGAGCGGCGGACGGGUGAGUAAUGCCUAGGUAUCUGCCUGUUAGUGGGGGAUAAGGUCCGGUAACGGGCGCUAAUACCGCAUACUAUCGGAUGAGCCUAGGUCGGAUUAGCUAGAUGGUGGGGUAAAGGCCUACCAAGGCGACGAUCAGUAUCUGGUCUGAGAGGAUGAUCAGUCACACUGGAACUGAGACACGGUCCAGACUCCUACGGGAGGCAGCAGUGGGGAAUAUUGGACAAUGGGCGAAAGCCUGAUCCAGCCAUGCCGCGUGUGUGAAGAAGGUCUUCGGAUUGUAAAGCACUUUAAGUUGGGAGGCGUUACUAACAGAAUAAGCACCGGCUAACUUCGUGCCAGCAGCCGCGGUAAUUC